rnacentral:rRNA from 1 species
CACGUAGGGGGCAAGCGUUUGUCCGGAAUCACUGGGCGUAAAGCGCACGUAGGCGGCUUUUUAAGUCAGGGGUGAAAUCCUGGAGCUCAACUCCAGAACUGCCUUCGAUACUGGAGAGCUCGAGUCCGGGAGAGGUGAGUGGAACUGCGAGUGUAGAGGUGAAAUUCGUAGAUAUUCGCAAGAACACCAGUGGCGAAGGCGGCUCACUGGCCCGGUACUGACGCUGAGGUGCGAAAGCGUGGGGAGCAAACAGG